rnacentral:rRNA from 1 species
GUGAGGAAUCUUCCACAAUGGGCGAAAGCCUGAUGGAGCAACGCCGCGUGAAGGAUGAAGGUCUUCGGAUUGUAAACUUCUUUUAUGAGUGAAGAAUAUGACGGUAACUCAUGAAUAAGCACCGGCUAACUACGUGCCAGCAGCCGCGGUCAUACGUAGGGUGCAAGCAUUAUCCGGAGUGACUGGGCGUAAAGAGUUGCGUAGGCGGUUAUGUAAGCGAAUAGUGAAACCUGGUGGCUCAACCACACAGACUAUUAUUCGAACUGCAUAACUCGAGAAUGGUAGAGGUGACUGGAAUUUCUUGGGUAGGAGUGAAAUCCGUAGAUAUAAUAAGGAACACCAAUGGCGUAGGCAGGUUACUGGGCCAUUUCUGACGCUAAGGCACGAAAGCGUGGGGAGCGAACCGGAUUAGAAACCCUUGUAGUCC